UCAUAGGGCCUAAGCGAAAGAUUCGUUCUACGCGUGGUGAAAAACACCAUUGUCCAACCAUUACUGAGCAUGUCUGAUAGUUUUCUUGUUUAGCUUCUUACAUUCCUCAUCUAACAUCUCCUUUGGCUUUGGCAUCAUCACCUUCAAGCAGUGCAUAUAAAUCUUCAUAAUAUAAGAUGUCAUCCAUCUUUAACUUUCCAAAUCGUCUAAACGGAGCCAUUAAGGCUGACCAUUCUAUUUGUGGUGCUUGCUUCCAUUUCAACACAUGAACAACAAACUCUCCCCCAAACAACUAAAGUUAUGAUACCACUUGUAGGAAAAAACAAGUCUCUCAUCAACCAAGCUUGUAUAAAAGAAAAACUCACUAACCAACCCUUUGAGACGAUUGCUGACGGAUCCAAAAAUGUGGAUGGAGAUCUCAAUAUCUCGAAAACAAACAUUCUCUUGAAAAUGAACAAGGGGAUUGAAUCCGAGGCUGUAGAGAGAGCUUGACCCUUCUUCCUCACCAAGCUUCCUUUUCUCCAAGAGAGCGAAGGAGAAAAACCCCAACCAAUUGCUAUGUCACUGUGUAUAUCCCAAAAGCCCUUCGUUGCUUUUGUCUUAAACGAAAAGGUCUAGGGAAAAGAUCAAAAGCCCUUGCUAAGGCUCACACGUGGGACACCUCCACAUCAGAGAGAAAUCCCAACAAGAGGUUGGGUGUUUUGUAACUGGAAUCCUCUCCAACACCUCUCCUGUUCCCUGUUUAUGCAUAAGUAAGACACCUAAGGUUUUUUUUUUUUUUAAAUUAUAGAUUGCCCACCAGUUUUAUAUUUAAAAUCCACUCCAUCUGGAUUUAUCCUUGUUUCUAGGCCAUGAGGAUAUCAAUCAGCCACAUUCAAAGCUCAGAUGGGCCACACCAAGGGGAACAAUGGGGAUAGAAUGCCAACUACGGUUUGUUUGGUUACAUCAUGGUGUGUCUCUCUCACUGAACCUAUGAAUCCCAUCAUGGAUUACUUGUGAUUCUAAAUAUUCGCUUCAAUUAGGCAAUCCUGAUUGUUCCAUCCAUGGGUUGGAAAAAAAAAAAAGGUCCGAAUCUAGGAUGGAUUUGAUCAUCGGAUCGGUCUCACUUUUGCAUGGUAGCCUUUGAAAUGUUUCUAGGGGCCAUUUAGAUCAAUCUUAUGAACUGUCAAUUUACAAAACUCGGUCCUUUGAGAGCACUCAAAUGAUAAAAUUGGUUGAUCUCGAACUACUUGUUAAUCCAAUAACUCUGUUAACGGCUAAGCCAUGAGUUGGAACCUGGUCCUAUCAACAGUCUUUUCCACUAUUUGUGCAGAUAGUGUAUGGGGUCUAUUCACUUAUCCAAACCUUCAUAUGAUGGGCCCUACCUUGGUUGGAGGACAUCUAAAAAUAACUCUGGCAUUGAAAAUUUUCAAAAAUUUGAUCAGUUGAGACUCUUUUGCUUUUAGUAUGGAUGGUCUCUUUAACUUCUACAUAAUCAAAUGGUUGUAUACUUCAAUUUAAGAUUUUCCUUGCUAAUUUUCCAUCCACCAUGAGGCCCAUCAAAUAAAUGGUUUGGCUCAUCCAGAAAAAAAAAA